UACGGAGGAUCCGAGCGUUAUCCGGAUUUAUUGGGUUUAAAGGGUGCGCAGGCGGGAGAUUAAGUCGGCGGUGAAAUUUUGCAGCUCAACUGUAAAAGUGCCUUCGAAACUGGUUUCCUUGAGUGUAGAUGAAGUAGGCGGAAUUUGUGGUGUAGCGGUGAAAUGCAUAGAUAUCACGAGGAACUCCGAUUGCGCAGGCAGCUUACUAAACUACUACUGACGCUCAGGCACGAAGGCGUGGGGAUCAAACAGGAUUAGAUACCCCGGUA
rnacentral:rRNA from 1 species